rnacentral:lncRNA from 1 species
GAUCAUAAGACAAAUACGACACUGCUUUUCUCGCUCUUGUUUUUCAUUACACACCUCAGCAACGCGUUAUCAAAAGAUCUAUGUAACGAAAACGACAAAAACACCCUCCUCAAGAUCAAGAAGUCCCUAAACAACCCUUACCACCUCGCCUCGUGGCACCCCGAAACCGACUGCUGCUCCUGGUACUGCCUCGAAUGCGGCGACGCUACCGUUAACCACCGCGUCAUCUCCCUAACCAUAUUCGCCGGUCAGAUAUCCGGUCAGCUCCCGCCUGAAGUCGGUGACUUACCGUAUCUUCAGAAGCUUGUCUUCCGCAAACUCACUAACCUCACCGGUCAGAUCCCACACAGCAUCACCAAGCUCAAGUAUCUCACGUUUCUAUGGCUUAGCUGGACGAACCUCACCGGCCCGGUUCCUGAUUUUCUUAGUCAGCUCGUGAAUCUUGACUACUUAAACCUUUCGUUCAAUGAGCUUUCUGGUUCAGUACCUAGCUCUCUCUCCCUGUUACCUAAACUUACGUACAUUGAUCUUAGUAGGAAUAAGCUUACAGGUGAAUAACUCUUUUAUGUAUAAAAAAACGAUUAUGAAAAACAAACUGUUUAUUAAAUUGUUAUUUUUCUAUUCACAAUGUUUUAACUUUCACUUAGGUACAAUACCAGAGUCAUUUGGAUCGUUUCCAGGAGAAGUUCCUUACCUUAUCUUAUCACACAACCAGCUCUCCGGUUCUAUACCCAAAUCACUAGGCAACCUUGAUUUUAACCGGAUAGAUUUCUCAAGGAACAAGCUCACAGGCGAUGCUUCGAUGUUGUUCGGAGCCAACAAAACGACGUUUUCCAUUGACUUAUCAAGAAACAUGUUCCAGUUUGAUCUGUCCAGAGUUGUGCUCCCUGAGUCACUUGGUGUACUGGAUUUGAACCACAAUGGGAUCACAGGGAGUAUUCCCGUUCAAUGGACUGAAUAUUCUCUCCAAAUCUUAAACGUCAGCUAUAACAGACUGUGUGGACCCAUCCCCACUGGAGGCAGUCUUCAGAGAUUUGAUUCUUAUAUAUAUUUUCACAACAAGUGUUUGUGUGGUGCACCUCUUGAUAGUUGCAAGUAAUAAACCAAGCUUAUCUCUAGUUUUCCCAAAAAAAAAAGUAAUAUCAUCCAGAGAUUUCAGACUGAUAAAAUAAAACAUGUAUCACAACUUGUAUUUUGAUGAGUUCUUAGAACAUUUUUAAAGUGAAAAUAAAGGUGGUAGGGUUACCACAAAUAGAGGAAGAAUAAGGACGAAUACUUAUCCUCUAUUUUCACUUAUAAGGCCAUGAUUAUCGCUAAACUGUUUUUUGGGUUUCUUAAUUUUUUUUUUGUUUUCUCUGAUUAAAAAAUAUAAAAAAGGAACCAAUCGUGGGUUGCCACGUGUCAGUGAGACCUACAAACAGUACAAGAAACAACAGAUAGUCAGUCGAUCCUUCUUUGGCGACUUUUGUGACCGAUUUUAGCUGUUUUGUGGGGUCCUCAGCAUGACUUUUUUUAAUAAAUCCACUUAAGGAUCUGCGAUAUUUAUGCUCUAAGAGCAUGAUUAAUGGAGGGUUCUUAAAGUGAAGUCUUCGGGGAAUAUAAAAAAUCGUAUCUUAACUUUUAACUAAAAAAAGCUAAAAACCUUAUUUAACAUCUAGUGCUUCUGUGUCCGAAAGGUGUUUUUAAUUUCUAAAUAGAGAAAGAAUAAAGAAGAAAAGAAUGUAAAGAAUGAUUUAGGUGCUUAUUCUUGAGCCAAACCAUAUUGCUAUCACAUCUGCAUAUGUUCUGUUUCUGAUAGUCCUAUAGAUGCUUUUCUAGUUUGAUAUGUGGAGAAGGAUCAGCUCCAUGCUUCCGACUGUUUCUCUCACGCCAGAUGUUAUUUCAUGUCAGAUGCUUUUCUAGUCAUGUUUUAGUUUCAUGAAAUACGUUUAGAUGCUAUUUUCUUUUUGGUGUAUCUUAUUUUUCAAAUCCUGUUUUAAAUUAUAUAAAUUUUCUCAUUUCGCAAAUAAAACUAUUUGUGGAUACUGUUUUAAAAUUGUACCAAAAGCAAAUUUCAUAUGUUGAAGCUUAAAAGUGCUUCGUGUAAGAUUAUAAACCCAAACAUUUAUAUACAUAUGAAUAUUUUUUUUAAAAAAUAUUAGAAAAAAAAAUAUCAAAAUAGAAGCCGUGGUCGAGAGAGUAGUAGUACUCAAGUGGCACAUGUUGACUGCCAGCAUGUUGGCACCAGCCAACCAUAUUCAACACCGACAUCUUAAUCACACGUAUUGACUGACUAUUAAGGUUUCUAUCAAAUCAAAUAUCUAAUCUCGAUAGUGUUUAUAUCAUCGUCACACUUUCAACAAAAAAAAUAUUCAAAACCACACACCAUACAACAUGGAUCAUAAGACAAACACGACACUGCUUUUCUCGCUCUUGUUUUUCAUCACGUACCUCAUCACCAUCGCGACAUCGAAAGAUCUAUGUAACCAAAACGACAAAAACACCCUCCUUAAAAUCAAGAAGUCCCUAAACAACCCUUACCACCUCGCCUCGUGGCACCCCGAAACCGACUGCUGCUCCUGGUACUGCCUCGAAUGCGGCGACGCCACAGUUAACCACCGCGUCAUCUCCCUAACCAUAUUCGCCGGUCAGAUAUCCGGUCAGAUCCCGCCUGAAGUCGGUGACUUACC